ensembl:lncRNA
AUGAACCCAGCAGUUUCACGCCUCCUCUGCCUUUGUCAAGGUAAUCAGGCCAUUGAGGACUAUGUGGAGGACUUUUGUGGUUUGUGUCAUCUUGUGGCUUUUAAUGACGUUGCGCUUAAAGACAUUUUUCGAAUAGGUUUAAAUGAACCUAUUCGUUCUCAGUUGCCUGGGGGAAAGAUUUGUUGGUCACUAGAGGAAUAUAUUGACCGAGCUCUUUUGCUGGCUGGUUCAUCAUUUACUGUAGGGAUUGCGGAUGAGGAACACUGCAAUCCUGCAGUAGCCACCAUGCCUGCUAAGCCACGGCCUGCUCACAUCAUGUCUGCUACCCCAGGGUUUGCUCACGUCAUGCCUGCCAAGCCAGCACCUGUUCAUGUCAUGCCUGCUACGCCAGAGCCUACUCAUAUCAUGUCAGUGUCUCAAGAGAUUCUCCACAACAUGGCCGCUAUUCAAGAGCUCCGUCGCAAAAUGGCUGGCACUCAAGAGUCUCUUCAGAAAAUGGCCGCCAUUCUAGAGCCUCGUCACGCCUCAGCUGAGCUUCCGGAGCCUCGUCACGCCUCACCUGAGCUUCCGGAGCCUCAUCACGCCUCAGCUGAGCUUCCGGGGCCUCGUCACGCUUCAGCUGAUCAUCCAGGGUCCCGUCAUGCCUCAGCUGAUCAUCCAGGGUCCCAUCUCGACAUGGUCGCCACUCCAGGGUCCCGUCUCGACAUGGCCACCACUCCAGGGUCCCGUCACGACAUGGCCACCACUCCAGGGUCCCGUCACGACAUGGCCGCCACUCCAGGGUCCCGUCACGACAUGGCCGCCACGCCUGAGUCCCCGGCCAAGAUGGCCACCACGCCUGAGUCCCCGGCCAAGAUGGCCACCACGCCUGAGUCCCCUGCCAAGUUGGCCACCACGCCUGAGUCCCCGGCCAAGAUGGCCACCACGCCUGAGUCUCGUCAAGUUUCGGCAGUCACUGAGACUGUUCCCGUGGCCUCAGUACUUCUAGUAAUGGCAGUCGCCAUUUUGAGCGUGUGGCCUGCACACUGUGCUCCAGAGACUUUUCCGGUCCACGAGUCUGGGCCGUCCACAAGCUCUCUGCCUGCCCUGUCACGGCCAAGGAGGCCGUCCACGAACUCUCUGCCUGCCCUGUCAUGGCCAAGGAGGCCGUCCAUGAACUCUCUGCCUCCCCUGUCACGGCCAAGGAGGCCGUCCACGAACUCUCUGCCUGUCCUGUCAUGA